AUAGAGAAAAGCCAGUAUAUAAUGUGAGCACUUGUAAUUUCCAAAUUAAUAAAACAUGUGAAAGUUCUUUGAAAACAGCAUCUAAUGAUUAACACUUUAUAUAUACAGAAAAUACAUUUAAGAUAUGGCUUAUAAGGUAUAAUAAUAAAAUGUGCACUUGUGAAUCCAACACAGCCUGAGCAAAGGUUUGUGACUGUUUCUUCUGAAGGACCAGAUAGUAAAUACUUUAGGAUAUACAGACUAUGAAGUCUAUGUUGCAGCUACUCAACUCUCUCAUCGUAGCUCAAAAGCAGUCACGGAUAAUAGGUGAAUGAAUGAAUGAAUGAAUGAAUGUGGCUGUGUUCCAAUAUAACUUUAUUUACAAAAACAGGCAGUGGGUCAUAAUUUGGCUACCACUGGACUAGAGCAUUAAUGAUACUAUUGAAGGUGUCUGUGUGCCCCUCUCCAGCACCAUUCUUUGUGC
rnacentral:lncRNA from 1 species